rnacentral:rRNA from 1 species
AUUGAACGCUGGCGGCAUGCCUUACACAUGCAAGUCGAACGGCAGCACGGACUUCGGUCUGGUGGCGAGUGGCGAACGGGUGAGUAAUGUAUCGGAACGUACCUUUCAGUGGGGGAUAACGUAGCGAAAGUUACGCUAAUACCGCAUAUUCUGUGGGCAGGAAAGCAGGGGAUCGAAAGACCUUGUGCUGAUUGAGCGGCCGAUAUCAGAUUAGCUAGUUGGUGGGGUAAAGGCCUACCAAGGCGACGAUCUGUAGCGGGUCUGAGAGGAUGAUCCGCCACACUGGAACUGAGACACGGUCCAGACUCCUACGGGAGGCAGCAGUGGGGAAUUUUGGACAAUGGGGGCAACCCUGAUCCAGCCAUGCCGCGUGAGUGAAGAAGGCCUUCGGGUUGUAAAGCUCUUUCGGCCGGGAAGAAAUCGCAUAGGCUAAUACCCUGUGUGGAUGACGGUACCGGAAUAAGAAGCACCGGCUAACUACGUG